GAUGAAGAACGCAGCGAAUUGCGAUAUGUAAUGUGAAUUGCAGAAUUCAGUGAAUCAUCGAAUCUUUGAACGCACAUUGCACCCUCUGGUAAUCCAGAGGGUAUGCCUGUUUGAGUGUCAUUAACAAUAUCAAAUACAGACUUUGUGCUGUGAUUUGAAUCUUGAAGGCUUGCUGACUGACAAAGUUAGCUCCUUUUAAAUGCAUUAGCAGGUUGCAAACAACUGGCCUCAGUUUGAUAGACUUGAUUAUCCCUACUGUCGCUGGUAAUUGUUUGAUCGCUUCAAAUCGUCUUUAGACUGCUAUUAGGCAAUACAUUUUAAGUCUUGACCUCAAAUCAGGUAGGAUUACCCGCUGAACUUAAGCAUAUCAAUAAGCGGAGGA
rnacentral:misc_RNA from 1 species